rnacentral:rRNA from 1 species
UUCCAGACUCCUACGGGAGGCAGCAGUGAGGAAUAUUGGUCAAUGGGCGAGAGCCUGAACCAGCCAAGUCGCGUGAGGGAGUACUGCCCUAUGGGUUGUAAAUCUCUUUUGUCGGGGAGCAAAAGCCGGACGUGUCCGGCUGUGAGAGUACCCGAAGAAAAAGCAUCGGCUAACUACGUGCCAGCAGCCGCGGUAAUACGUAGGGGGCAAGCGUUAUCCGGAUUUACUGGGUGUAAAGGGGGCGCAGACGGCGAUGCAAGCCAGGAGUGAAAGCCCGGGGCCCAACCCCGGGACUGCUCUUGGAACUGCGUGGCUGGAGUGCAGGAGGGGCAGGCGGAAUUCCUGGUGUAGCGGUGAAAUGCGUAGAUAUCAGGAGGAACACCGGUGGCGAAGGCGGCCUGCUGGACUGCAACUGACGUUGAGGCCCGAAAGCGUGGGGAGCAAACAGGAUUAGAUACCCCUGUAAC